AUACAGAGGGUGCAAGCGUUAAUCGGAUUUACUGGGCGUAAAGCGCGCGUAGGUGGUAAUUAAGUCAAAUGUGAAAUCCCCGAGCUUAACUUGGGAAUUGCAUUCGAUACUGGUUAGCUAGAGUAUGGGAGAGGAUGGUAGAAUUCCAGGUGUAGCGGUGAAAUGCGUAGAGAUCUGGAGGAAUACCGAUGGCGAAGGCAGCCAUCUGGCCUAAUACUGACACUGAGGUGCGAAAGCAUGGGGGGCAAACAGGAUUAGAUACCCUGGUAGUCCAUGCCGUAAACGAUGUCUACUAGCCGUUGGGGCCCUUGAGGCUUUAGUGGCGCAGCUAACGCGAUAAGUAGACCGCCUGGGGAGUACGGUCGCAAGACUAAAACUCAAAUGAAUUGACGGG
rnacentral:rRNA from 1 species